ensembl:snRNA U6 U6 spliceosomal RNA
GACAAUUAUGGAUUAAGACUAACAUUUCAUUUGGAAUGACACAGAAAACAUUUGCAUGCCCCCUGUACAAAGAUACAUGCACAUUCAUGAAGCGUUCCGUAUUUUU